UUAUUGUUUAUAUAAGGUAGUUUCUGCUCAAUGAUAUUUAUUUAUUAAAUAGCUGCAGUAUUUUGACUGUACAAAGGUAGCAUAAUCAUUUGUCUUUUAAUUGUAGGCUUGUAUGAAUGGUUUGAUGAAAUACUGUCUUUCUUUAUUUUAAUUAAUGAAUUUAACGUUUCAGUGAAAAGGCUGGGGUGUUUUUGUGGGACGAGAAGACCCUGUAGAAUUUUAUUAUGAUAUUUAUUUAUUGAAUAUAUUAAUAUUUAUUAUUUAUAUAUAAAUGGUAUAAUUUUGUUGGGGUGACAGGGAGAUUUUAAUAACUCUCUUUAAUUUAUAAAUUUUAUUUAAUUUAUAUGAUCAAAUGAUCCCUUAUUAUGGAAGGAUUAGAAGUUUAAAUUACCUCAGGGAUAACAGCGUAAUUCUUUUGAAGAGUUCUUAUCGAUAGAGGAGUUUGCGACCUCGAUGUUGGAUUAAAAUAAGUCUUAGGAGUAGCAUUUUAAGUUACUAGGUCUGUUCGACCUUUAAAUUUUUACA
rnacentral:rRNA from 1 species